UCCGGAUUCUCUAUUUCCUUUCCUCAUUCCCAAUCUUCGAUCCUUCCCUAAAAACAACUGACGAGAGAUCGAUGAUGAUGAAGAUGCCUUGGAGGAGGAAGAGCAGGAGCUUCCAUCUUCAGCUACAAGGGGCAAUUGGUACCAUUCAAUCUCCAUUCCUAUUCUUAUUUACCAAUUAUUGCCAUUCUUCUACUUCCACACUUGAAGAUGCACGCUUCUUCACAAAUAACUUCAAAUCUGCUUCUUUUACCCGCCUUCAUGAUGCCAUUGCUUCCUUUAAUCAUGUAAUUCAUAUGCAUCCUCUGCCUUCUAGGGCUCAAUUUAGUAGAUUCUUAUCUGCCCUUGUGAAAAUGAAACAAUAUCACACUGUCUUUUCCAUGUCCAAAACAAUUGAAUUGCUAGGAAUCUCCCACGAUGUUUAUUCUCUUAGCAUCUUAAUUAAUUGCUUCUGCCACUUACACCUUGUGGAUUUUGGCUUCUCUGUUUUUGGUAAGAUGCUCAAAUUCGGAUUGGAGCCUACCACUGUGACAUUUAAUACCUUAAUUAAUGGGCUUUGUAUGGAGGGUAAAAUCGAUAAAGCAGUGGAAUUUUUCGAUGAUAUGGUUGCACGUGGUUAUCAACCUGAUGUUCGUACUUUCACUGUGAUAGUAAACGGAAUGUGUAAAUUUGGGAAUACAAAUGUGGCUAUUGGGCUACUAAAGGGAAUGGCUGAUAGAGGUUGUGAGCCAAAUGUUGUGACAUACAAUGCAAUCAUUGACGCCCUUUGCAAGGAUAAGCUAGUUGGUGAGGCUUUAGAGCUCUUCGCUCAAAUGAGGAAUAAGGGCAUUUCACCUAAUGUCAUCACUUACACUGGUUUAAUUCAAGGUGUUUGCAAAUUAUGCCAAAAGAACCAAGCUUUGGCCUUGAUGAAUGAAAUGGUGGAGCAAAACAUAUUACCAGAUGUUUAUACCUUCAAUGUAUUGAUUGACGCUCUUUGUAAGGAUGGAAUGGUUGCAGAGGCUCAAAAUACAUUCAAUGUAAUGAUUCAAAGAGGUGUAGAGCCUGAUGUGGUCACCUACAAUUCCUUAAUUGAUGGUCUUUGCAUUUCAGACCAUUUCAAGGAAGCUUUGGCCUUGUUGAAAGAAAUGGUGGGGAGGAACAUAUCCCCUAAUGUUUUUACCUUCAGUAUAUUGAUCGACACUCUUUGUAAGAAAGGACUUGUUUCAAAUGCACAAAAUAUAUUCAAAAUAAUGAUUCAAAGAGGUGUGGAACCUGAUGUUGUCACUUAUAAUUCAUUGAUGGAUGGAUAUUGUCUGUGCAAGCAAAUUGAUAAGGCUAGAAAGCUAUUUGAUCUGAUGGUGACCAAUGAAAUAGCUAGCAUUUUUAGCUACAACAUUUUGAUCAAUGGAUAUUGUAAGUGCAAAAUGAUAGGUGAUGCAAAGGAGAUUUUUGAUGAAAUGUUUCAUAAAGGUUUAGUUCCUAAUGCUGUUACUUAUCAUACUCUUAUAAAGGCUAUGUUUCAAGCAGGGAGGCCCCAAACUGCAAAAGAGCUCUUUGAGGAUAUGUGCUCUCAUGGUCAACAGCCAAAUAUAGUAACCUUCUCAAUUAUGAUUGAUGGCUUGUGUAGACAGGGGAACCUCGAUGAGGCACUCACCCUAUUGAAAGCAAUGGAGAAAAGUCAGUUGAAGCCUAAUUUUGUGAUCUAUAGCAGUCUGAUCAAUGGUAUGUGCAAAGUUGGGAAGAUUAAUGAUGCCAAGGAACUUUUUUCUAGUCUUUUUGAAAUUGGUUUACAACCUGAUGUUCUUGUAUAUAAUGCAAUUAUGAAAGGACUUUGCCAACAAGGAUUAAUGGAUGAAGCGUAUAAGGUAUUUAAAGACAUGGAAAAGGUAGGAUGUUUACCAAAUAAUUGUUGUUAUAAUAUCAUCAUUAAAGGGUUUCUGAGGCAUGAGGAUUUACCAAAAGCAUCAGAACUAAUCAACGAAAUGGUUGAUAAGGGGUUCUCUGCUGAUGAUGCUACCACAGAAUUGGUAGUACACUUAUCGCGGAAUAAUAAUCUCAUUCUGAGGCUUUUAAAGGUGUGCAAUGAGGGAUCAACAAACUAAAGUUGUUAUAUCUUGACCAUUCAAGUGUAUCUUGGAGCGCAACUUGGUAAUUACCUUUUUCAAAUAUAAUAGAUAUGUAAUUUAACUUUCUUCAAAUAUCAUUUUUAAUUUCAAUCAGCUGUGUUUCUCUUCAACAAAACGAAAAUUUCUAACACUGCAAAUUACCUGUGGUGGAAACCAUGAUAUGUGUGUGCCUUUCGCUUGAAUUCAGACAUGGACUAGAUCUCUUUGAUAUAAGAUUGUUGAUGAAUGGAGGUCAUGGAUUUCUAAUCAUCAAGUUGUUGGUACUUGCAAGGAUAUGACUACAACUUCACCCUUCUAACCAUAAAGGUAUAAGCAAUUCACCACUGUGCUUUAAUUGAGAAUUGAUUUAACAAUUAUACUACACUAUAAAUGCAGAGUGUAGGAUAUACAGUCCCAGAAUAGAAGAGAAUCACUUGACUUCUACAGCUGUUGGUUGGAUGAAAUGUCACUAAAAUUAUAGACAACAGAAAAUGUUAUGGGAAUUGAGUUAUUUUAGUGUUAAUGGAUAUAUUUUAGUGUUGGACCAUCAUUUGAGUUAUCUAUAUGGUGCAUUUUGCGAUACAUUUGUGUGGUGUUAUGAAUGUGAAACACAUUGUUUCUUACUGUUUGAGAUGUUAGUUAAGUUAGGCAAGAAAAGUUAUUUUGGUUGUUUCUUUUCUCCUUUCAGCAGUAUAUAAUGAGACAUUUUAUGUUUUUACCACUUUCUUAACCUUGUAAUAUACUUUUUCUUUUUGCUUGAUGCAUCUUUCUUGAAGUUUUUGUGAUUCUGCAUCCAUGGGAAAUGAUUCGUUAGAGAAGAUGGGUUUGACAGUGUACAUAUUGAGAGGUAGGAAACCGAUUGCAAAAUGAUUCAGAACCCAAGAAUCUAUAUCAGUUGUUGUUUACUUUACAAAAUUGAAAAAACAUUAGAUCUUUCUUGUGGUGCAGUAUUGUCAAUACAAAGAAAUUUCAUUUGAUUAAAUGGAAUACUGUUGUUGCAUUUCUUCCCUUCGGAAAGACAUUCGAAAUGCGGCUAUUAAAUUUAGAUCUUUCUUCUCUCCUUUUAAUCAUAUCAGAUUUGCUGUGGGAAAUGAGAUGAAAAUAAAAUCUUGGAAUGAUAGACGAUCGGUUGGUAAUGUUGCUCUCAAAUUCUCCUUUAGCAGGCAGACUAUUAAAAUUUAACAGCUAACCUAGAUGUGUUGAUGUUAAAUAUUUUUUAAAAAGGUAGUUUUAGAAAAAAAUAAAAUCAAUUUUGUAAACAUUUCCAUAUAAAUUUAAUUAAAAAAUAAAUAUUUACUUUUUUUUUUAACUGUCAUGCGCCGUUAUUAUUUAUAAGUACUAAUAAUUACAUUGUAAAAUUUAUAUGGUGCAUUUUGCGAUACAUUUGUGUGGUGUUAUGAAUGUGAAAUGCAUUGUUUCUUACUGUUUGAGAUGUUAGGUAAGUUAGGCAAGAAAAGUUGUUUUGGUUGUUUCUUUUCUCCUUUCAGCAGUAUAUAAUGAGACAUCUUAUGUUUUUACCACUUUCUAAACCUUGUAAUAUACUCAAUAAAAUUUUCUUUGGGCUCUUGUUUGUA